rnacentral:sRNA from 1 species
AGCCUAAACCUCAUAGUUUAUCUAUGAGGCAUGUGGCGCAAAAACGUUCAACGUAGAGAGCUCCUAGUCAGAGCACGCGUUGAACGUCAUAUCGGGAAACCGGUAUGGGUCCCGCAAGGGAUU